rnacentral:rRNA from 1 species
UACGUAGGUGACCAGCGUUGUCCGGAUUUACUGGGCGUAAAGAGCGCGCAGGCGGUCGUUCAAGUCGAGUGUGAAAGCCCCCGGCUCAACUGGGGAGGGUCACUCGAUACUGAUCGACUUGAAGGCAGGAGAGGGAAGCGGAAUUCCCGGUGUAGUGGUGAAAUGCGUAGAUAUCGGGAGGAACACCGACGGCGAAGGCAGCGCCCUGGCCGACAACUGACGCUCAGGCACGAAAGCUGGGGGAGCAAACAGG